rnacentral:rRNA from 1 species
GACGACGCUGGCGGGCGUGCUUAACUACAUGCAAGUACGAACGGUAGGACGAGGAGGCUUGUCUCCCUCUGAUCAGUGGCGAACGGGUGAGUAACACGUGAGCAACCUGCCCCAGACUCUGGGAUAACAGUUGGAAACAGCUGCUAAUACCGGAUACGAGACGGAGAGGCAUCUCUACCGUCUGGAAAGUUUUUCGGUCUGGGAUGGACUCGCGGCCUAUCAGCUAGUUGGUGAGGUAAUGGCUCACCAAGGCGACGACGGGUAGCCGGCCUGAGAGGGUGUACGGCCACACUGGAAUUGAGAUACGGUCCAGACUCCUACGGGAGGCAGCAGUGGGGAAUCUUGGGCAAUGGGCGAAAGCCUGACCCAGCGACGCCGCGUUGGGGAUGAAGCCCUUCGGGGCGUAAACCCAUGUUGUAGGGGACGAAGAAAGUGACGGUACCCUACGAGAAAGCCCCGGCCAACUACGUG